rnacentral:lncRNA from 1 species
GGGGAUACACUGAUUUUGGGACAGGUGAUCCCCAUUCCAUGAAUGUAAGUGGAAAAUAUUAUAUAUAGGGUAAGAAGUUGUCAAUGGUUUUUUACAUAAAAAAAGAGAAGUUUAUUAGAAGGAGCAAUUGUUAUUUUCAAACUAAUCUGGAACUGACACAUGAAGGCCAGAUGUUGAAAGCAUAUAAUGCCACAUCCAAAUGUAAUGAUAAAAGAAUAGAAACUUCAAAGGCCAUCAAUGGUGAAGGUAACCAGCAUAUGUAUAGUAUCAACAGGUGUAAUGGCAUUUUGAGUAAUGCAAUCAUGCAAUAAGCAUUAGAUAGGAACUGUAUUUCAUACGUUAUCUUUCAUACAAUUAAAAUUGCAGCAUUGGAACCACAUAGGUAUGUAGUGUUGAGCUUCAUUGUACCCAAAAAAAUUCAUUAUCGUCCAACAUUUCACUUGUUUAAUAUUGUUUACAUCCAUUAUCAAUAGACCUUAUACAAAUGCUUCUCACUCUCUCUGUAGCAAAGCAUAUUUCAAACUGUCCCUUGCUAUUGUUUCAGCAGGAUUUCUUGGCUGAGUUGGCCCUACACAUUUCAGGUGCAACCACAAUUGGCACAGCAUGCUAGCUCAACAUAGUUUUGCAACAUUUUAUCUGUGCUAUUACCAUGUCUAAGCUACAUUCUUGAACUUGGCCAAAAAAUCUCCAUAGAUUAAAUUAGUAAGGAGAAUGAUAAAAAUUAGGCAUGUCUCUAAUAUAGUGUCUGGUAUAAUAAUUAUAAGAUAAAUGAGAUUUCAAUAUUUCUUCUUCGAAUAUAUUGACUUAACCCUACAAGUGGGACUACCCCCAUAGCAUGUUACCGCUAGAAGUGGAACUCGGUACGCAUGUUACCACUAGAAGUAGAACUCGGUAUUUCUUCUAGAGAAUCUCCUGAUUAUUCUGAACAACUAGAAAUAAAUUCCUUUAUUAGAAAGAAUUCAGUCCUGACGUAGGAUAAGUAUCUAAAAGUUUUUGCAUCAUUAAAGAUUCAUCAUUGAUUGAUAUAUUAUGAUCAUGGUCUCAUUUUGUCUGAUUCUGUUGCAAACUUAUAUUUGAUGAAUAGGAUUGAGACCAAUGAGCAUUGGAAAAAACUCUGGUUCGAGGCCUGAGCACCUCCUAGAAGAGAAAAGAGAGGGAGAGACUAGAUAACUUCAUGCUUGUUUCAUUCAUUAAUUCUUCAAGGUAUUUAAACAUAAAUUACACUGUUAAAAGGUGCCUAAUAUAAUAACAAUUUAGCAACAAUUCUGGUGUGGCAACUGCAAAUACUAUUGCUUCCAUUCUAAUAUUCUAUACAGUUCUAUAUAUGUGUUUGCAAAUACAGAGUAUUUCUGUUUACCAAUCGUGUUAUAUUUCUUUGACAUCAAUGCUGAUUUGGUCAAGCUUCAAUAACUCCAUCUUUCUUAUGUAUUCUACAUAUUAUUUUUCCAUUCUUUAUUUAUUUAUUUUAGUGAAUCAUAUACUAAAAUCCUGAUGGUUUCUGUAAUUAAUAUAAACAUAACUUUUUUAUUACACCAAACUGAUGCAGUUAAAUAAUAACAUAAACUAUGGUUGUUUAAAAAGAACAACAAAAAAACCAACUUUGAACCUAUGGUUUAAAGCUAAAUUGUGUUACAUUGCAAUAAGACCUUAUGCACAACAUGGUUACAACAAGUUCAAGAGAGAGGAGGAAAAGCAAAAGCAGGACUAGUUUAUUGAAAAAAAAAUCUUGGAUCAACAACCUUAGCAGCUGCAAAGUUGAAGGACAUCCUCAAACCUCUUCUUCUCUAUGGCAGAAUGAUCAACCACACAACAUGUCUGAAUCUGAUUGUUGUCUAAACCUUCUUUGGAGAUGGGAUUGAAUUUGGCAACCAUUUUAAGUACUGGGCUUUUCAACCCAAAAUAAGGUGUUGCAGAUGGUGAUGAAGGUUGCAUAAUCACUGAUGGGUUAUGUGUUUUGCUAUUGUGAGAAAGCAUGAGCAUUGCUGCUGUUGGUGCCAUUGACAAGACCAAAGUUUCAAGCAGUAUAGGGAAGAUUCAACAUUCAAGAAUGUGUUAAUUUCCAUAUAUAGGGACUAGGGAGAGAGAUAUGUAGCCUCAAACACUUCUGUGGGCGUUCCUUUACCAGUUUCUCUUGAGGAGUGCAAAACCAAAGGGCCUUAAAACCAUGGGAAAUGGAAACUAUUGCCUACCCUUUUCUUUGUACCUAUCCAUUAACAAAC